ensembl:lncRNA
UGUUGACAGGGGAGAUUGGUCCUUUAUAGUUCUAGACUUACAGAUAUGCUCAUAAACCAGAGAUCCCUUAACAGUAACAAUUACCAUUUCUUGAGCAUUGUGAUGGUCAAUUCACUUAUCUUCUCUGCCUCUCUGGGCUCUGCAAGCCUGACCUCUGUGGACUGCUUGAUCCAGGUUUGGAGCCCUCAGUUUCACCCAUGGAAGCCAUACACAAGAGAUCAGAAGGCAGGAAAACAGAGCUGUUAAAGCUUCCAAGUACAAAUGAAGUGACCCUCGUCAAGCAACAGAGAAACAAAUUCUCCAGCAGCUAUUUCCUGUCUGACAGUUGGCGUGCUUCACUGACUGUAGUGUCAGCCUCGAAACCUUCAUCAUAAGUGUCAUUUGGUCUUAACUUUGCAAUAAGAAUUCCACCCAUGUGCCCAGGGCUCCUCUGGCAGCCUCUUCCGUCUCCACUGGCCAAUCGAGGUAACUUUCAACAGCUUGAUUCCUACAGCGCCUGGGCAUACUUCCAUGACAGCACUGUGCACACGAUGCUGAAAUGAUUGCUUUCCACAGAAAUCUCCCUCACCAAACUGUCAACUCCUGAGAAAUGACCCCAUCCAUCUCUGAGACCUGCAGUCCUAAUAGAGCGCAUUGCUCCAAAUUUGAAGGAGGAAGAAAGGAAAAGAGAGCAGAGGAAAGGAAAAGGGAAAAAAUAAGAGGGAGAAGGACAGAAUAUACACAAUCCAAUAAAUAUUUCUAGGUUCUG